AUACGUAGGGUCCGAGCGUUAUCCGGAUUUAUUGGGCGUAAAGGGCUCGUAGGCGGUUCAACAAGUCGGUCGUGAAAUGCCGGGGCUCAACCCCGGAACGCCGGUCGAAACUGUUGUGACUAGGGUCCGGUAGAGGUGAGUGGAAUUCUCGGUGUAGCGGUGGAAUGCGCAGAUAUCGAGAGGAACACCAGUUGCGAAGGCGGCUCACUGGGCCGGUACCGACGCUGAGGAGCGAAAGCAUGGGGAGCAAACAGGAUUAGAUACCCCGGUAGUCC
rnacentral:rRNA from 1 species